GGGGGCGCGGCCGCGCGUGCGCGGGGCGAACGGAAACGGCGGCGGGACCGGCCCGGCCGGAGGCGCCGGUAGCGACCGAGCCCGCCCGGCCCGGGCCCUUCCCGGGCCGCAGGCACCAUGGAGAGCCGCACCACCAUGGACUUCCAGGCGGCCGCGCUCCCCGACCCCGGUGGCGGCAGCGAUGAGACCGCGGAGCCGCGGGCCAUGGACACGGAGGACGGGCCGGAUGCCCUUGGGCGCUGUGCAGGGGGCGGGCGGUCGGAGCAGCCCUCCCGUUCCGCCCCGCAGCCCGGCAGCGGCUCCAGGCCGGAGGGGUCGGGACCCGCCGCAGCCCCGGAGCUCGCGGGAGGCGCGGGCGGACGGACCGAGCUGUGCCGGGGCUCGGGAAGAGCGAUGGAAGCGGAGGCGGUCCCCGAGGUGCCGCAGGGCUGUGCCCGCUGGGAGCCCGGCGCCGGGAGCGCCCCUCGGGGCACGGGCCGUCCCCGGACCCCCAGCAGCACCGACCCCGCGGGCAUGGAGCUGGAUGAGACCCCCGAGCCCCGCGCCUGCCCGGGCAGCGCCGAGUGGACCGAGGAUGUGGAGGACGAACCCUCGGAGAUCCAGGGGCUGCUGGCUCAGCUCGAGACCCUCGACCCCAACCUCCGCGACCGCUCGCCCGCCCCAGAGCAGGGCUCGCCGUCCUCCUCGGGCGCUGGUGCCCGGCGGGGCCGCGGGCAGUGCCCGGGCAAGUGCCGGCCGUGCCCGCUGCAUGUGGCCACGGGUCGGGGCCUGGCGAUGCGUCCCUGCUGCCCCCAGCACUCUGCCUGCGACCGGCCCUGCCACGGGCUGCUCUUUGCCGAGGCUGACCGGGAGGACUUGCUGAGCCUCCUGGGCUAUGAGGGCGGGCUACCCGAGGCUGGUGCCGAGACCUCCUUGGCCUGCUCCGAUGUCCUGGCUGGGACCAACUUGGAGAUGCUGCAGGCUCAGGAGGAGCCAGCCACUGUGGAGAAGCCUGAAGGGCUGGGGAGGCCAGAGAGCUUUGAGGAAAAACCUGGCAGUUGGUGUUAUGGAGAGGGGCUUUACGAGGACGAUUCUGCCUGCGAGGGUGCUCGGGAAGGUUCCCCAGAGCCAGCAUGGGCAGCCCUGCCUUCCGCUCUGACCCCUGGGACAGAGCAACCACCUCAGGGCCCUGUGACUAACAGGGAAUCCCCAUCAUCCUGCCCAGCCUUCAAAGAGGUUCCAGGCCCUUGUGACCCAGAGGACUUGCUGGAUGGUGUGAUUUUUGGGGCCAAGUACCUGGGCUCCACGCAGUUGGCCUCGGAGAGGAACCCCCCAACCAGCGUCCGCAUGGUGCAGGCCCAGGAGGCGGUGGACAGGAUCAAGGCACCCGAGGGGGAGUCCCAGCCCAUGACGGAGGUGGAUCUGUUUGUUUCCACACAGAGGAUCAAGGUGCUCACCGCUGACACUCAGGAGGCCAUGAUGGAUCACUCCCUUCAAACCAUCUCCUACAUUGCUGACAUCGGCUCCCUCGUGGUGCUCAUGGCACGCCGGAAGCUGCCACGGCGCUCGGAGGUGGCGGAGGAGAAGCGGCUCUACAAGAUGAUCUGCCACGUCUUCCACUCGGCUGAUGUGAGGCAGCACACAGAUCCCUGGGAUGGGCGGGCCCAGGUCAUCGCCCGGGCCAUUGGGCAGGCAUUUGGCGUGGCCUACCAGCGCUUCCUGGAGGCCAACAGCAUCGACCCGAGUGAGCUGAGCCCACGCCAGUACAGCCGUGCCUUGGAGGACCAGGAGCAGUACAACGCAGAGCUGACCCACUUCUCCCGGCAGGAGAACUGCAAGGACGUGUGCAUUCAGAAGCAGAAGGGGGAGAUCUUGGGUAUUGCCAUUGUGGAGUCGGGCUGGGGCUCCAUCCUGCCCACCGUGGUCAUCGCCAACCUGAUGCACGGGGGCCCCGCGGAGCGAUCGGGCGAGCUGAGCAUUGGGGACCGCCUCAUGUCAGUCAACGGGACCAGCCUGGUGGGGCUGCCCCUGGGCACCUGCCAGAGCAUCAUCAGGGAACUGAAGCACCAGACCGAGGUGACACUGAACAUUGUGCACUGUCCCCCUGUCACCACAGCUGUCAUCCGACGUCCUGACUCCACGUACCAGCUGGGCUUCUGUGUUGAGAACGGUGUGCACUCCCCACUCCCAGAUCUGCAGCCUGAUGCGUGGGGGCAUCGCAGAGCGGGGUGGCAUCCGCGUGGGGCACCGCAUCAUUGAGAUCAACGGGCAGAGCGUGGUGGCCAUGUCGCACGAGAAGAUCAUCCAGAUCCUCACCGAGGCGGUCAGUGAGGUACACAUCAAGACCAUGCCUGCCUCCACGUACCGGCUGCUGACGGGGCAAGAGCAGCCCAUCUUCCUCUGAGCCACGAUGCCUGGGGCAGGCAGGAGCAAGCCCAGGGCUGCAGAGGGGCAGGACUGGCUCUGCCUUCUGCCCCAGCCCUCAACAGGGUCUAAAUCUGCACCGCCUUUGUUUUUACUCAGGACACAGUGGGACAAUACCCAGCCUGAGCAGCAUCAAGGCCUGUGGUUCCAUGCUUUGGGCACCUCUAUUCCUCCAGUCACCUCUGCCCAUCUCACAGUGCCUGCACAGUGCCUGUUCUGCUGCUGCACAGGGUCCCUUGCCUUGGCAUUGUGCUAGUGGGAGCAGAGGGGGCCCUAUGUGAAAGUGCCUCCCAGCCAGUCCCUGACUGCUGUACUUUUACACUCACCAAUGGUGCCUUUCCCAAGAUGGGGAUGGUGCACGCAGCUCAACGCCAGAGCUCAGCCAGUACAGCCCCAGAGCAGCACUGACCCUGCAAAACCAUGUGUGGGUGCACACUGGCACCCCUGAGGGAUACCCAGCAGCUCUCAGACUCAGCCUUAAGGGCAGAAGCACUCUUGGCACCUUGUCUUCUCCCGUGGCUUGGGCAGAGGACUGUUGGGGUGCAAACUGUCCAUUAGACACAUUGCACCAAACUGGGAACCUGCCUGAGCUUUUCCCUGGUGCUGCCUUGCAUUGCUCUGCAUGCACAGCCCAGCCCAGAGCCACAACCCUUGGAGCAGCAAAAGGGAAGAAAUAUGGCAUUGCCCAGCCCCACAUCCUGGGAGCUUGGGGCUGUGAGCCUUUUUGUGAGCAGCUCUCUGGGCUCCCAAAGCUGCAGCAGUGCUGACCUGGCUGUGCCUGUGUGCUUGGUUGCUCUAAAAAUAAAAAUUUUUGGAAAUACAGAAAGCUGCAU